rnacentral:lncRNA from 1 species
AUCAUCACGCUUAUCUGGACCCAUAAUAAACACUUACUCCUUUGGGGUAAUGGAUUUUUUUUUUUUUGAGUCAACUCACUUUUGGCAGGUAGCAUCUUGAUGACAACCCGAACUUGCCAUGAGAAAUAAGCUCUAGGCCUUUGUUAGUUUUUCCCUCUUCCUUAAAAUGUAGCUACUAAUAUUGUUGUCAUAGUAAUUAUUAUGAUUAAAGUAUAUUACUAUACAUUGUAGCUUCCCUUCUUCAUCUUCUUAUCCUGAGUUGCUCAAACCAUGGACAUUCUCUUCAUUGACCCAUGCAAAAUCCUAGUGUAAAGGGCAGGGGGUAACAUCAUAAAACCACUGUUACCCCUUCUCCUUACUUUCAUAAUCAAUACUCAGUGACCAAAUAUGUGACCCCCUUUCUUCUUUUAUACACACCCCCCCCCCCAUAUAAUUCUUCAGAGGAUAGCAACUAGAUAUCUUCUAUUUCAAGGUGACUUGGACACUAUACUCCAAUUAAAGUUAGAUUUCAUUGUACAAGGUUAGCAUUACUCUGACACUAAAACCAGACAAGGAUACAAGUAGUAUAACUGGUAAACAAAGAACAUUAAAAUCCCUAACAAAAAACUGGCAAAUCAAUUCUAACUACACAGUCAAAAGUUUAUACAGCAUAAUAAGUAAGAUUUACUACUGGGGUGUACUAAUGGCUCAAUAUAUGAAAAUUAAAAAGACCUAACAACAAAAUUAGUGAAAAUUUUGAUUAUCUUAUAGACAUCUUUAUAUAGAAAAAGCAUGUAUUCAAUAAAUAUCUCAAAUAGAUCAGGUAUGGAAGAGUCAGUAUUCAACACAAAUUCUACAUAUAACAAACCUAAAGCCAAUGCCAUACUAAAAUGAGGAAAACCAGGAAGUGUUUCUUCUAAUAUCUGAACACAAGGAUAUUUAUUCUUUUUCAGUACAGCACUUUAGCCAAAGCAAUUAUGAAAGGAAAAGAGAUAAAAGGCAUAUGUAUAUGAAGAGAAGUAAAAUUAUCUUUGUUUGCAAAUGAUAUGAUCUGUAAGAAGAGCUAAGAGUCUACCAAAAGAUUUGCAGAAUUGGCAAAUUCAAUAAGCUGUAUGAUACAAAAAUUAACAUAUAAAGUCUAUCAUUUUUAUCAAUUAAAAACAUGUAUUCCUUGAGAAUUGCACCUAACCUUGGCAUGGACCCAGCUUUCUCCUUCCAGUAGACCUCCCCUUCUAGCCCAUUCCUAUUCCAUUAUGUCAGAAGCCUCAGGUACGGAGACAUACUAGCUACCUGGCACCCCCAGUAGUCAUACCAAAUUGGAACUAAGGCCAGCAAUUCACAUUAUCCUUCCUGUCCUCCAUUAUGAUCUCCAUUCUCUCCCUCAGCUCUGUAAUAACCAGCUUGCAGCUCUGUAAUAACCCCUCCUCCUACCUCAAGAUAAGAUCACAUAUCAACACCUAGAAUCACUUUAGUUAUCAAAACUCCAGAUGCCUAGAAAACAGCACAACAAACAGAAGUAUUAACAGCCAAAACAAUACGCUUCCACUAGAAACCAUUAACCCUACUAACUAGGCCGUGAAAAAGGCAAUAUAGCUGAAGCAUAAGACAAGGAUUUCAAAAUGGCAAUUAUGAAUAUGUCAUGGACAUUAAAGAGAAAAUGAAUGAACAGCAUAGUAAAAUCUGUGAAAAGAGAAACAGUGGAACAAAAUAAUGAAAACUAUUCAUGACAUAAAAGAAUUUAACAAAGAAAAAGAAUGAAUAAAGAAAACCCAAACUGAGAGAAAACUGAAGUGAAAAAUUGAGAAAGUCAAAGAAAAUUCUCAGAGAUAAGCUUUGCUAGCAGAGUACAAGAUAUGAAAAGAGAACUGUAAGUGUUGAAGACCAGGCAGAAGAAAUAGAUGUCUCAGUCAAGCAAAAUGUUAACUCAAAACAAAACAAAGCAAAACAAAAAACAAAAGAAAAAUAACAACAACACCCACAAAACCCACAAUACAGGAAUAAAGCACAAAGGAAAUCCAGGACCCUAUGAAGACCAGAUCCUCAAAUGAUAGGAACACAAGUCAAAGGCACAGAAAAUAUUUUCAAGAAAACCACGGACAAAAAUUUCCCCAACCUAAAGAAGGAGGUGUCUUAUCAAGUUAUAGGAUGCACACAGAACACCAAAUAGACAAGACC